CAAAGCUACAGCAGCAAAAUCAAACUCUGCAGAAGGAGGUGGAGAUCCUGAAGAGUCUGCAUGCUGAAAUUGAGGUUAGAGUCUUUCCAUUUUCUGUUUUGCUUCGGAAUUCAUGUCUGUUUGCUAAAAUUGGUAUCAUUUAUCAAAAUGACUUAUUGUUUCCUGCGAGUUGAAACAAGAAACCAGUACAUAAACUCUCAACUAAAUGCUUUGUCUGUGUGCAAGCUUGAAUGAGGAGGAAAUUCACUUCCCUGCCAAUAAAAGUUUAGAGAUUCUGGGUCCUGAAGAUCUAACCAGCUUACCGAUUCACCAAAAGAAAACUAGAGUUUCGGCACCGAUCACAGUCUGAUACACGGGCAUUCUUGACCCUUCACAUAGCACCAUCAUUGAUUUGUAAUGGAAAUGAAAAUGAGGCUGGAGGGAAAGACUUACCAUCUCUUCAUUGGCACACAUGGUAAAGCUGUAUUAAACUCCUAGAUCCCAUCUGAUUUUCAACAACUCAUGUUGUCUGGAGUGUUUUGUCAACUGAAUUUUCUUGAAAAUAUAUUUUUUCAGUGUUUUUGUCUGCGGAACGAUCCAAAAACACUUUUGCAGUACAGUCUAUUGAAGAGACUGUCUGACAUUUGGUUCAUUUCAUAUACAUUUCCACAUCAUAUCAGUCUAAUGCCUGACAUGUGCUGUCUCUCCCACAGGAAGGGCAAGAAAAUAAAGAAAAUAAAAGGAGUAGAACGAUGACCACACGGCUUUGUAAUUCAUGUCUCAUUGUUGCCCAGUCAACGGCCUCACAAUGGGAACUCACACCUUCCAAUUAUGUGAGGAUUAUGCUGCAUUUACGUAACACGUUUCUGUCAUAUUUUACAUUGUAGUGUUCAUGUUACUGUGUAUUUACUUCAGUAAGUAUUGAGUAAUACUAAUAAACUACAUGUACUUAAUUUGUAUGUAUUUUGUUCAGUCAGCCGGUCAUGAUUGCAGAACAAAUCCUGACAGGGUGAUCAGGUUUUUAUUUAUUUUGCAAUAAUAGUUGGCUGACUGUACAAUAUCCCACUUGUUACAAAGCUGCUUAAUCAAUACAUUUUUGGAUAUGAAAAAUAUGCAGGAACUGUCAAUUAUACAGUUUAACUAUUUAGCCAUGUAGUAAUAAUUUUUAAUACAUGUAACAUGGUCAUUGUAAUUGAAAGUAUCGCCAUUGGACCUUUCUUAUAAUCUUCCA